UACCUCGUAGCUCAGUUGGUAGAGUAUUGCCGGCUAGUAUCCCAAAGGUCGCGGGUUCGAUUCCCACCGUGGUUG